CUCUCACCCCGCCCCACGGACCAGCCCCGGGCACGUAAGGGUUACCGGGAGUCCAGGGAGCUGUCGCCCUCCCGCGCCUCCCAGUUACCGUGGCAACGAUGUUGCCUAGUUAACGCGAGAGCUCGGGCGCAGCUCUGGGAGCGGACAAGAUACAGUAAACAAUUGGCUUGCAUUGCACCUUCCUACCCAAGCAGCUUGGUUUUCUUUCGCUUUGACCCUGUAAUUUCUUUCCCACUUCGUUGUCGUCUCUGAAUUACCUUUCUCUUGAUUCUUGCCCAUUAGCAUCCUCCAAUUUCAGAUGUUUGUAGAUCCCCAAGUGUUCCCAGGGAAAACUACUAGAAAAGGAGAAAACUGAAUGGGCUACCUUUGAAGUCCAGGGCACCCUCCUCUAUCUUGUUCACUUCCUCAUCAGGCACUAUCUAUGGACUGAGAAGAGAAGGACUUUAAAACAGUGGUAAAGAAAGCAACAAAGACAAUGACUGGCAAGACAGAAGAAUUGUGCAGAGAAAGAGGAACACUGUGACCCGAUCAAGGACGAAAUGAUUCCCAACCUCCUUAGAGCCUUGCUGGUGCCGAGAUGUCUGUGAUCAUCAGUCACCUCUUCAUCCCAACUCCCUUCUAUUCCCCCCACCCUUAACAUAAAAAGAGCCUGAAAUGUGUACUGACUUAUUUUAGGAUGCAAGUCCACCAUCUUCUUGGUUUACUGGCUUUCCAAAUAAACUGGUUGUUUCUCCCACCAACUCAUGUCUCUCGUGUUUAGCUUUUGAGCAGUGAGUAGCUGAAUCUGGGUUUGGUUACAGUUUUAUGGCACCCAAUGUGGGGCUGUGUGCCUUGGGUGUCCUAGCCUGCGGGAUUUCCA
rnacentral:lncRNA from 1 species